rnacentral:tRNA from 1 species
AAGCUGUGUAGUAUAUUUAAUACGUAAAGUUGCAAACUUUAAAAUAUUUUUAAUCUCGGCU